rnacentral:rRNA from 1 species
AUUGAACGCUGGCGGCAGGCCUAACACAUGCAAGUCGAACGAGUGGCGGACGGGUGAGUAAUGUCUGGGAAACUGCCUGAUGGAGGGGGCUAACUACUGGAAACGGUAGCUAAUACCGCAUACCACCAGAUAUGCCCAGAUGGGCUUAGCUAGUUGGUGGGGUAACGGCGAACCAAGGCGACGAUCCCUAGCUGGUCUGAUAGGUAGACCUGACACACUGGAACUGAGACACGGUCAAGAAUCCUACGGGAGGCAGCAGUAGGGAAUAGUGCACAAUGGGCGCAAGCCGGAUGGAGACAUGCCGCGGGGAUGAAGAAGGCGUUCGGGUUGUAAAGUACUGUCAGCGGGGAGGCGUUACCGGCAGAAGAAGCACCGGCUAACUCCGUGCGAGCAGCCGCGGUAAUUC